rnacentral:ncRNA from 1 species
GUGUUGUAUGAAAGGAGAGAAGGUUAGCACUGCCCUUGACAAGAAUGGAAGGGGCCCUUGGGCCUGACAACACGCAUACGGUUAAGGCAUUGCCAUCUACUUAAAUUAAUGCUUUAAUUUCAUUGCCUGUUAUUGCCUUAUUCAGGGUUUUAU